rnacentral:lncRNA from 1 species
CUGUGAUCUCACCACUCUCUGCAGUCCGAGUUCAGGGCUCCUUCAUUAACAGACUACUGCUUCAAGGAGCUAAACAACCAAAUCAAUCACAGGCACUUUAACACUUACUCUACAACGUUGAUGUGCAAUCACAAGGCGAGGGGGAGAGAGGGAGUACAAACAUCCGCAACACCACUCUAACUGUUUCUACAUCUGUUUUGGCAUUUCUAUUGUCUUGGUGUCUGAAAACAAAACUCAAACAAAGUGCUCAUGUACACACAUUCACAACGUGUGUCUGCUGGGGACAUAUAUAUAUAUAUAUCACUCACACACAUUUCAGUGGAGUGAAGAGGACGGCCGCAUCAUGGAAACCAUUAAUGGAAGAACAGGCCAUGUUAUUACACAGAGUUACAGUUGAGAAGGCUGCAUGGGGGCAUGGCUUUCAGAGUGGCCUUGGGACUGGCAUAUGUGCCGUGCAGGCUGGCUAUGACACAGAAGAAUAGGUGUCCCCUAUGAGCCCCCUGCCUAAACCACCCCACCCCAGUUGACUCUGAUCCAUUUGAUCCAGACAGCUGCAACACCCCCCCAUGCCCAUACACCCAUCACACCAUCCCUCCUUUUGAUCCCGAGCUCACUUCUAACAGAACAACCAACAUCAUUUGGCAGGAUGGGAAAAAACCCUGAUGCAAAGAAAAAAUAACAAUGUUCCAAAGUCAAGUCAUGGGUAAAUCUGUGUGGAUUUAGCUAGUGGCUAGGGGUACAGAUUUGGCAGCAGAAGACCUGUCUUUUAGAUACUACAGUACAUGAAAAGAGACAGUUUGAAACAAACCCUUUGCAUUUUGCUGGCUUUGCCGCUACGGUCAGUCAUGCAUGGCCAAAUAAAAUACAAUUUUAUUCACUACAUGCUUUGUAAACAACAGGUGUAGACUAACAGUGAAAUGCUUACUUACGGGUCCUUCCCGUAAGUAAUCUAACAGUAAUCUAACAAAUUCACAAUGACUACCUUAUACACACAAAUGUAAAGGGAUGAAUAAGAAUAUGUACAUAUAAAUAUAUGGAUGAGCGAUGGCCGUGCUGCAUAGGCAAGAUGCAGUAGAUGGUAUAGAAUACAGUAUAUACAUAUGAGAUAAGUAAUGUAGGAUAUGUAAACCUUAUUAAAGUGGCGUUAUUUAAAGUGACUAGUGAUACAUUUAUUAAGUCAAUUUAUUUAAGUGGCCAGAGAUUUGUGUCUGUAUGUUCGCAGCAGCCACUCAAUGUUAGUGAUGGCUGUUUAACAGUCUGAUGGCUUUGAGAUAGAAGCUGUUUUUCAGUCUCUCGGUCCCAGCUUUGAUGCACCUGUACUGACCUCGCCUUCUGGAUGAUAGCGGGGUGAACAGGCAGUGGUUGUUGUCCUUGAUGAUCUUUUUGACCUUCCUGUGACAUCGGGUGCGGUAGGUGUCUUGGAGGGCAGUUAGUUUGCCCCCGGUGAUGUGUUGUGCAGACCGCACUACCCUCUGGAGAGCAUUGAGGUUGAGGGCGGGGUGAGUGUUUUAGGUGACAUAUAACUCGGAGUAAAGUGACAGAUAGUAAACAGUAGCAGCAGCGUAUGUGAUGAGUCAAAAAAAGUUAGUGCAAAAAGGGUCAAUGCCGAUAGUCAAAAUCUAAUCAAAUCACAUUUUUUUGGUCACAUACACGUGUUUAGCAGAUGUUAUUGCGAGUGUAGCGAAAUGCGUGUGUUUCUAGCUCCAACAGUGCAGUAAUAUCUAACAAGUAAUAUCUAACAUUUCACAACAAUACACACAAAUCUUAAGUAAAGGAAUGGAAUUAAGAAUAUAUAAAUAUUUGGAUGAGCAAUGUCAGAGCGGCAUAGAAUAAGAUACAGUAGAAUAGAAUACAGUAUAUACAUAUGAGAUGAGUAAAGCAGUAUGUAAAGAUUAUUAAAGUGACUAGUGUUCCAUUACUAAAGUCACCAGUGAUUUCAAGUCUAUGUAUAUAGGGCAGCAGACUCUAAUGUGCUAGUGAUGGCUAUUUAACAGUCUGUUGGCCUCGCCUUCUGGAUGAUAGCGGGGUGAAAAGGCAGUGGCUCGGGUGGUUGUUGUCCUUGAUGAUCUUUUUUGCCUUUUUAGUCUGGGUAGCAAUUAGGUUAACUAUUUAACUAACUAUUUAGCAGCCUUAUGGCUUGGGGAUAGAAGCUGGGUCCUGUUGGGUCCAGACUUGGUGCAACGGUACCACUUGCCGUGCGGCAGCAGAGAGAACCGUCUAUGACUUGGUUGGCUGAAGUCUAUUUGAGACUCAGCAUUUAAUUGAAGUUUUACGGGUAAGCAAGUUAACAUCCGUCCAUUAUCCACACAAGUGAAAUCAGCGUGAUGUUUAUGUUUUUCAUUCCGGGGGAAGACCUAUGGGAUAUGUCAAGUUUGCACACAGCACACUCUGUGGUGUGGAGGGAGUCUAUGUGUGUGUUUACAUUCCUCUGCCGACCCCUGGUGAGCCUUCCUGUGUUUCCAGAGAGGAGUCCUCUUCUCUCACACAAAGAAUGCUUCAACAGGAAAAACAGCCUGUAUUGCCCAUCGUUGUGCUCCUCCCUGUGUGUCCUUACAGUCAAUGCCCUGUACACAGGGCUGAGUGGACGGGAAGGCCUUUUUCUAGGGAGUAGGGGUUCAAUGCCCCUGCCCUUCCUGCCUUUGUGGGAAUUUGUUUAGGGUGGUGCCACUUCAUCAACAAGGGGUGCCCUGGUGCAUGGCCCUUGCCCUACAUGUUUGUCGAGUGAGGGCUAACCAUACAUCACAUGGGGAAUGGGACAUCAGCAGGCACUUCUGUUUGCAAGGCCCUAACAGCUUGACUGAUGUUUCUAAUAAUACUGGUGGGUGUCAUGAAGAAGAAGCUUCCCUUGGAGUAUAAUAAACAGGCGCACUUUAAUACCGGUCAACAACGACAGCACCUAAAACAUACUAGUGCCAAAAACACGGUCUAAUAACAAAAGUGCAGCGCCUGACAAAUAUCCCACGUAACAAUAAACAAUUACACAUAAAGACAUGAUGGGGAACAGAGGACUAAAUACAUGUAGAUUGAUUGGGGAAUGUAAACCAGGUGUGUAUGGAACAAGACAAAACAAAUGGACAUAUGAGAAAUGGAGCGGCGAUGGCUAGAAAGCCGGUGACGUCGAUCGCCGAACGCCGCCUGAACAAGGAGAGGAGCCGACUUCGGCGGAAGUCGUGACAGUACCCCUCCCUUGACGAGCGGCUCCAGUGGCACGCCGACACCGACCUCAGGACGAUGCGGAGGGCGAAGCGCAGGGCGAUCCAGCCGGCGAUGGUGAAACUCCCGCAGCAGUUCGGGGUCCAAAACAUCCGCAACCGGGACCCAGCACCUCUCCUCCGGACCGUAUCCCUCCCACUCCACAAGGUACUGAAGGCCCCCUGCCCGAUGCCUCGAAUCCAGGAUGGAACGAACGGAGUACACCAGGGCCCCCUCGAUGUCCAAAGGGGGCGGAGGGACCUCCCUCGCCUCAGAUUCCUGGAGUGGACCAGCCACCACCGGCCUGAGGAGAGACACAUGGAACGAGGGGUUAGUACGAUAAUCAGAGGGAGCUGUAAUCUGUAACACACCUUGUUCACCUUCCUCAGGACUUUGAAGGGCCCCACAAACCGCGGACCCAGCUUCCGGCAGGGCAGGUGGAGGGCCAGGUUUCGGGACGAGAGCCAGAAACCCCUGUGCGAACACCGGGGUCUCACUGCGGUGACGGACCGCGCUGGUUUUCUGGCGAGGCGCAGCUCGCUGGAGGUGAACAUGUGUGGCCUCCCAUGUCUCCUCCGCGUGCCUGAACCAGUCGUCCAUCGCAGGAGCCUCGGUCUGACCCUGAGAGGUUAGUGGAGGAGUGGCGAAGCGAGUUCUGUGCCAUCUCGGCCCAGGGCACGAACACCGCCCACUCCCCCGGCCGGUCCUGGCAAUAAGACUGCAGAAACCUGCCCACAUCCUGGUUGACCCUCUCUACCUGCCGGAAGAGGAGGAGCCGUGACACUGUCAAUCUCUCUGAGCUCUCUCUGACAAGGCAUUAAAGCCCAUUAGCUGUGCCUCAGAUGAUGAGGUAAAUGUAAGACUCCUGGAGGACAUCUACUCGAGGGAUCAAACACAAAAUGAUUCUCCAAAACAUUUCUCCACCAUGUCCUCUGUUGUUGUGACCAAAAACAUUUACUUCCACUAUCAUGGUUAAAACUGUUACCCCCCAUUAUACAAAUACAGGAUGCUCCCGCACUCACCUGUGCCACAAAGAGCUCACAGGUCAGUGCGGAGGCAGAGAGAUGGGUGAGUGCUACCCAAGGUCAGAGGAUUUGAGAAGAAGAGAGAGAGACAUGUAGACAUCUAAGUUUUACUCUAGGAUCAUCCUUGUUACCGGGGUACUGAGGGGCUGGCUUUUACCAGCCCAAAGUCAAACAGUCCUCAGCAUUCCAGAAUGUCAGGUCGGUGUGUCAGAAACAUUGUUCUAUUCUUAAGCAGAGUGAAAGACACCUCAACACCUCUCUCUUCCUAACACACUGGUGGGUUUCAGGAGGAUUUGUCUCUCAGGAGAGCUCACCUGGCUGUUAGUAGUGGAAAAGCCCCAGGGCCAGGACACAAAGCACACAACAAAAUAUGAUGAGACAGAUCUUCUCCCAUCCCCUAUCUUGAUUAACGCCCUAAAGCAUUUGACAGUGUUCUAUACUAUUUUUACUUACACAAUCCCCACCACACACACACAUAUGCUUUCAUUCAAGUUGCCAAAAGGGCAGCUAAGAAGAUUUCUGUUCAAAAUGAUAAUGAAAAACAGACAAUUAGUAUUACUAGUAUUACUGCAUACAAAAUUCCAAUUGAAUUUCCGUCUUAUUGUUUGAAAAAGGUAAUCUGGUAAAAAUGUGUAUUUCUUGUUUAGUUUGUGAACGAUAAGCCUUUUGCGUUCUUUGUUCGAAUCGAGGAGAAUCCUUUUUUUUUUACCUCCCGCCCCCCUCGGUCCCUCUUCCUCUCUUCCCUGUCCAUUACCUUUUCUCCAUCAUGCACAGUUAACUUUUUUCGUCCUUCUCCUCCUCCAUCUCCCACAAAUCACUCCAGGGUCAAUUUUGUAAUGCCUGACAUUCCGUCUGAAAUCAUAUUGGACCUGGAAUGUCUAUGGAUCCGGUCGUAUUCCACAGCUAAUGAGUCCAAUAGAGUGGGUCUGAAAGGGAAGGAUACAUAAUAUAGCUUAAGAAGAGAAAUAGAGAAAUAACACUGUACUGUUGAGGAGCCGGAAACAGAAGCAUUUCUCUGCACACGUUAUAACAUCAGCUUAACUGUGUAUGUGACCAAUAAACUUCGAUUUGAACACCAUAAGAGACAUGGAUCAUUACAUUACAGAACACUGUUGGUGCAUACUGUAGCCAGAUACUACAUGCAAUAUGACCCGAGGGAAAUGUUACGUAACUCUCUCCCUCUACAACUAUGAAUGGUGUUUCCACUAUGAAGUGAGAGAACUGUCCCAGAAUCACAACAGAAUCAUCCGGAGAAUGCACUUUCAAAACAUACAAUGUGAAUAUGUUAAAUGAUAUAAAUUACUUCCAGAAUUUACUGGGAAGAACUCAGUUUUGAAAUGGCUGGGUGGAGAUUACCGAAGAGGGUAAUCGAUAGAGACUCAACCUCCCCUUCCUCUUUUGUUGCUCCACCGUGGGUUGUCAGAGCAUGUAUAUGUUGCCUGCUGUACAUUGUGAGAGAGAAUGGUGUGCCCAGCGUUCAAGGCUGCCGGUGCUGUGACCUGAAACUGUCCCCUGACCAAUACCCAAUCAGAGUGAGGCUGGGUUGACAUGACAGCUCCUGCUGUGAGGGGUUGGUGGGUGCUGGGCACUAAUCCCUCUCCAGCUCCACCAGCCUGGUGUCCCCCUCGCCCGACACAUUCCUGCACAUCACAGCGGCAGCCCCUGCUAGGCCCCAGGAUGAACACCUGCUGAG